rnacentral:rRNA from 1 species
AUGCAGUCGAGCGGCAGCGGGAAAGUAGCUUGCUACUUUUGCCGGCGAGCGGCGGACGGGUGAGUAAUGCCUGGGAAAUUGCCCAGUCGAGGGGGAUAACAGUUGGAAACGACUGCUAAUACCGCAUACGCCCUACGGGGGAAAGCAGGGGACCUUCGGGCCUUGCGCGAUUGGAUAUGCCCAGGUGGGAUUAGCUAGUUGGUGAGGUAAUGGCUCACCAAGGCGACGAUCCCUAGCUGGUCUGAGGGAUGAUCAGCCACACUGGAACUGAGACACGGUCCAGACUCCUACGGGAGGCAGCAGUGGGGAAUAUUGCACAAUGGGGGAAACCCUGAUGCAGCCAUGCCGCGUGUGUGAAGAAGGCCUUCGGGUUGUAAAGCACUUUCAGCGAGGAGGAAAGGUCAGUAGCUAAUAUCUGCUGACUGUGACGUUACUCGCAGAACAAGCACCGGCUAACUCCGUGCCAGCAGCCGCGGUAAUACGGAGGGUGCAAGCGUUAAUCGGAAUUACUGGGCGUAAAGCGCACGCGUGCGGUUGGAUAAGUUAUAUGUGAAAGCCCCGGGCUCAACCUGGGAAUUGCAUUUAAAACUGUCCAGCUAGAGUCUUGUAGAGGGGGGUAGAAUUCCAGGUGUAGCGGUGAAAUGCGUAUAGAUCUGGAGGAAUACCGGUGGCGAAAGCCGCCCCCUGGACAAAGACUGACGCUCAUGUGCG